AUGCCUCCAGCCAAAUCCCCUUCCAGGGCUAGAGGAGGAAAGCAGAAAGCGGGGACAGGAAAGACAGACAAAAAAGAACCAGUUCCCCCCAAAAAAGGAGCAAAGACUGAAUCUCAAAUACUCUCAAAUAAUAAUGAAAGUGGGAAAGGAAAAGGUGGUAAAUUUGUAAAGAAGGAAGAAAUAGCUGGGAAAGGGAAGAACAAAAAAGAUGAGGAGAAGAAAACUGGCAAGGGUGACCAAACUGAGGAACCUCGAGAGGAAGAAAUAGAGACCUCUAGGCAAAUAGCCAAAGCAAGAAAGCAAAAUGGCAAAGUCUUACCUGCUAAGGUGACUGAUGGCAUAACAGGUAGAGGGAGAGCUGGGAAAGCUGUCAAAUCAAAACCUGACCAGAAAAAAAAUCCAGCCAAAACUCCUGCAAAAGUUGCGAGAAAGAGAGGUGCUAAAAUAGUAGAUACAGAAGAGGACGAGUCAGAGAGCGAGAAAGCAGAGAGCUCAGAACAAGAGAGUGAUGAAGAAGGAAAGGAUGAUAAGAAGGAGGGGUCAGAUUACGUGGAGAACACCGCUGAGACAGAUGGAAGUGUAUUAAGUGGUGAAGAAGAACUUUCGGAUGUAGGCAAAAAAACAGAAGGGGAGGAAGAAGAAGAUGUAGGCAAAAAAACAGAAGGGGCGGAAGAAGAUGAUCUAGGACAAAAAACAGAAGGGACAGAAGAAGAAGAUCUAGGCCAAAAAACAGAAGGGGAGGAAGAAGAAGAUCUAGGCCAAAAGACAGAAGGGGAGGAAGAAGAAGAGAAGAAAGGUGAGAGAGAUGAGAGCAGAACCAAUGAAGAGAAGGAACCCGAGAAGGAACCUGUUAGCAGUGCAGAAGAAGUAGACUCUGAGGGAGUAUUGAGCGAUACAGGGCAAGAGAGCACACAGGGAGAGACAGCCCGUUCGUCAAAGAAACCAGGACCGCUUAACCUAACAGUUCACCUCAAGGGCCAGAAAAAGAUGUUAAAAUCUAAGAUACUACAAAAGAAGGGGCCUUCUAGAGGAGAGGAGCCGAAGGUUGAUUCUGUGCCUUCAAAAGGAGUCCAUAUUAAAGGAAUGGCUCUCUCCAAAGGUGACGCCACUAAAGGUAAGUCUCAAAUUCUACAGUUGGCAAGUAAAACAAAGGCAAUGAGCAAGACAGAGGAAGAUCAGGCAGCAACCCCAACAAAAGGCCCCAAAGGUUUGUUGAACAGACAGUCUCGUAUGCUGUUUUCGAUGAAAGGCAAAGGAAAAGAUGAUAAAAGCAAGAACGCCAAAGAGCAACCUCCGAAAGACACCAAAGAUGCUGUCGAAGAGUCAAAUCAAGAUCCAUGUGAGAAAAUAGUGGCAGACACAACUGAGCCUGAGCCUGAAGAAUUAAUAACCUCAAAGUCAACAGAGCGUUUAUUGGCCCGGAAAAGAGGCAUGACGACAUUGCGACGUGUCUCAGGAUGGAUUCAAAAGAAGAUGCCAAAGAGCAUCCAUGUUCGAAGAAAAUUAUCAGCGGUCACCCAAGCGAUCGGGAUCUCAAAAUGGCUCCCUGCCUUGGUAGUUAAGAAGAGGACUAGCAGCACCAAGUCAAAGAAGAGUCUUAUCCGACACAAGAUGGUUGUGAAAAUGGCAAGUGGUGGAAAAUCAAAGAAGGAAGUAUCAACCUCAAAGGAAAAGACAGAUGAGGAUACUACUGCUGAUCCCCAGGGUGACUCUUCUGAUGAACCUUGUUCCUCUCCACAAGACGUAGAAGAAAAGGCCAACUCAGGAGAUGCUAAAUAUGCGAUUGUGUUCCCAAGGAUGAACAAAAUCGGCAAGGUUAAUGAAGCCACCGUUCCAUCUACUAGCACCAGCACAGGCAAUGGAGUCACAACAGAACGUAAACCACCAAAGCCUGGUGCUCGUCUGGUUCUUCCAGUCAAGCCAGACCUUAGCCAGCUAAAGUCCAUUAAGAAAAAUGCUCAGGAGAGCAAAAGUGAUAAGAAUGGCAGCCCAAACUCUCAAGUGACUGAGGGGCAGCCUGAGGUCAAAGCAGACAAAAAAGAACCAAUAUCAGGCAUCAAAGAUGGUACAAGUAUACUACAAGCCGCCAAGGGAAAACUUGGGGGAUCGCAAGUAAACAUCACCAAGUUGUCUAUGUCUAAACCUUUGCUUAAUGGUAUAAGUACGGGACAGAGCAAAGAAGUGGAGAGGAAUCUAAGGAAUUCAGAUGUAUCAGCAGAAGCCGAGACAUGGAGGAAUGGAGUGAUGCAACCUUCUUAUGAGGAGGAUGCAGACAGAGAAGUGGCAGAACUGAUGGGUGAGGGUCUUUUGCCCUCCGUUAUGGAGCAACACUGGGCUCAGACUCAACAAAUGUGUGGUGAUCCUCAAGACUGGCUACGUUCAGAAAACCUCAUGCCCCAUCAAACGGUGGAAAAGCUUACUAAAUGGACGGUGUAUCAAGAUGAUGAACAUGCCCACAUCAUUCCAGUCCAUAAUGGCAGGGGCCCAUGGGAAUCUGAAGAUCCGACCCAAAAUAUGCUAGAGGAGAGACUUUACAGCACACAGGUAUGA
ensembl:lncRNA